AAAAAGUGUAAUUUUAUACCGUCCAAUCUAAUAUUUGACCAUUUUAUCUUAUUUAAAUUAUUUUAUGAUUAUUAUUUUAUUGUUAUUAAAUGAUAAAAUAUGAACCGUACUUUAUGUAUGACUAAUUUUUAAUUAUUUUUUAUAUCUUUUUAAAUAAGACGAACCGUUAAACAUUGGGCACAGAUAGCUACGGCUGUACUUAUU
rnacentral:pre_miRNA from 1 species